CCCUUGCCAUUUUAUUCCAAAGUCAAAGAGUCCUAGCUCUAAUUCUUCUCGGAGCUCCCGUUGUCCCAUCUAGCCGCAUUUCCUAUGCUCGUCAUCCGUCACGUCUCGUGUCGUCGUCCGUCACAUGCUCGUUGUCCCUCACAUGCGCCAUCGCCAUCAUUGCUCGCGUGUCUCGUCCACGGGUUGUCCGCCAUUGCUGGUCGUCCGCCAUUAGUGGACCCAUCGCCUUGCUGCACCAGCCUUCGUCCCUCCCUUGCUGCCUGACUUGCUGGUCAUCAUCCCCAUGUUUUUGCCUCUACAAUAACAGAUUUUUGUUGGCAAUUUAGAUGCAAAUGUAAUAGAUGAUCAGCUGUGACAAGUCUUUGGGCAUUAUGGAGAGUUAGUUCAUGUGAAGAUUCCAUCCGACAAGAGAUGUGGAUUUGUGCAAUUUACCGACAGAUAUUUGAUGUUUGGUACUUUGGUAUUUGUGUAGCGUUCAAUUACUUUUUGCAUAAGAAGGUCCUGCCUGUGAUAUGAUUUUUAAUGCAUCAGGAAUUGGGCUAAAGAGGCACUGAGUUUUGAAUUGAACACUUUUAGGUGUGGAAAAUGUUAGGCUUUCAUGGGGACGGAGUCCUUCAAACAAACAGACUCAAGCAGACCCAAACCAGUGGAAUAGUAGUGGAUAUUAUGGAUAUGCACAAGACAAUG